UUACAUACUUUACUACAAUUGUCAAAAAGAGGGUUUAAUUUGUGUGUCAAAUAAUUCUCACAUCAAAAGUAUGAAAUCAGCCUUAAGUGUUAUGUGAAUCUUCCCUUUGUGUUUAAAGUGGGUUUUUGCAUUCAAAAGUGAAUUCUAAGUGUUAAUUUCAUUACUUUGCUUACUAUUGCUUUAAGAACCUUUGUUUAUCUUUUCCCUUUCUUUGCUAGCCAAUACCCUAGCCCCAUUACAACCCUUAGACUUCUAUCUUGGGUGUUAUGUGUUCAAUUUGUGGAGUUUGAAAGUGGUAUGAGCAUAUGGAAUCCCUAGUUCUCACUUCUGAGUAGUAGCAUUCCGUUCAUGAGAUCAUAUAUAUACAUACAUACAUACAUACAUAUAUAUAUAUAUAUAUACACACAUGCAUUAAUAAUUCCAGAAAGUGCCCUUCUCUGUUUAAAACAUAUAUGAAUACUAGUCUACAUGUUUACAUCAAUCUUCUCACAUAUACUUAGUGUAGGGAGUGUAGUCAGAAAACCUGUGUGAAAAUAUAGGGUAUAUCCGGUAAGGAAUUCUCUAAGGCAUGUUACUUCAUUCAAAAUGUUGUUUUAAUUAAUUAAUUGCGAGAUAGUAAGUGGCGACUCUGAUUAAGUGUGUGCUUG
rnacentral:lncRNA from 1 species